UACGAAGGGGGCUAGCGUUGUUCGGAAUUACUGGGCGUAAAGGGCGCGUAGGCGGCCGCCUAAGUCAGACGUGAAAUCCCUCGGCUCAACCGGGGAACUGCGUCUGAUACUGGGUGGCUUGAAUCCGGGAGAGGGAUGCGGAAUUCCAGGUGUAGCGGUGAAAUGCGUAGAUAUCUGGAGGAACACCGGUGGCGAAGGCGGCAUCCUGGACCAACACUGACGCUGAGGAGCGAAAGCCAGGGGAGCAAACGGG
rnacentral:rRNA from 1 species